rnacentral:rRNA from 1 species
CCUACGGGAGGCAGCAGUGGGGAAUAUUGGACAAUGGGGGGAACCCUGAUCCAGCCAUGCCGCGUGUGUGAAGAAGGCCCUCGGGUUGUAAAGCACUUUCAGUGAGGAAGAACGCCUGGUGGUUAAUACCCAUCAGGAAAGACAUCACUCACAGAAGAAGCACCGGCUAACUCCGUGCCAGCAGCCGCGGUAAUACGGAGGGUGCGAGCGUUAAUCGGAAUUACUGGGCGUAAAGCGCGCGUAGGUGGCUUGAUAAGCCGGUUGUGAAAGCCCCGGGCUCAACCUGGGAACGGCAUCCGGAACUGUCAAGCUAGAGUGCAGGAGAGGUAGGUAGAAUUCCCGGUGUAGCGGUGAAAUGCGUAGAGAUCGGGAGGAAUACCAGUGGCGAAGGCGGCCUUCUGGACUGACACUGACACUGAGGUGCGAAAGCGUGGGUAGCAAACAGGAUUAGAUACCCUAGUAGUC